UACGUAGGGAGCGAGCGUUGUCCGGAUUUAUUGGGCGUAAAGAGCUCGUAGGCGGUUUGGUAGGUUGGAUGUGAAAUCUCCAGGCUCAACUUGGAGGGGUCAUUCGAUACUGCCAUGACUAGAGUUCGGUAGGGGAGUGUGGAAUUCCUGGUGGAGCGGUGAAAUGCGCAGAUAUCAGGAGGAACACCCGUAGCGAAGGCGGCACUCUGGGCCGGAACUGACGCUGAGGAGCGAAAGCGUGGGGAGCGAACAGG
rnacentral:rRNA from 1 species